rnacentral:rRNA from 1 species
CAGUAGCCGCGGUAAUACGUAGGUGGCAAGCGUUGUCCGGAAUUAUUGGGCGUAAAGGGCUCGCAGGCGGUUUCUUAAGUCUGAUGUGAAAGCCCCCGGCUCAACCGGGGAGGGUCAUUGGAAACUGGGAAACUUGAGUGCAGAAGAGGAGAGUGGAAUUCCACGUGUAGCGGUGAAAUGCGUAGAGAUGUGGAGGAACACCAGAGGCGAAGGCGACUCUCUGGUCUGUAACUGACGCUGAGGAGCGAAAGCGUGGGGAGCGAACAGGAUUAGAUACCCCCGUAGUCCCUGUCUCUUAUAC